rnacentral:sRNA from 1 species
UGAGGUCCCCCUGGGGAAGCAGGUAUCGGAAGCCAUGGUCAUUGAGAAGAUCACCUGGGCCUCCUGGACAAGUGUCCUGGGAGAUGAAGUCAUUGGAAUCUGGCCACGAAAUGCAGACAAGGCUGAUGUCAACUGCGCAUGCGUGACCCAUGCUGGCCUGAACAUUGUCACAGGAGAUGACUUUGGGCUGGUGAAGCUCUUUGAUUUUCCGUGCACAGAAAAAUUUGCCAAACAUAAGCGAUACUUUGGUCACUCGGCUCACGUGACGAACAUCCGUUUCUCUUAUGAUGACAAGUAUGUGGUCAGCACUGGAGGAGACGACUGCAGUGUAUUUGUGUGGCGAUGUCUGUAAAAUGCCAGAAGCCUCUUAUGUUAUUGCUGCUGCUGCUACCAGCCAGCAACUGCAGAGGCCAUGCUGAGGUGCCUCCUUGCCACCAGCCGUUGGGAAAUGCCUACCAUGCUGCCCCGGACGCACAAGCUCAAAACGCUGCGGAAGUUACAAAACUGCUCCCAUAAUCUGGACUCUCCAAAACUGUGCUGCCACGAAGGAAGGUCAAGUUGUAAAAUGUUAAGACUGCUUGCCUCUGU